rnacentral:rRNA from 1 species
GGCGUGGAUUAGGCAUGCAAGUCGUGCGACAAGUUCCCUUCGGGGAGAUGGAGGAGCGGCGAAAGGGAGAGUAACGCGUGGAUACCUGCCUCGAGGUCCGGGAUAGCCGGGGGAAACCCCGUGUAAUACCGGAUAACAUCUCCGGAUCAAAGGUGUGAUUCCGCCUCGAGAUGGGUCCGCGUCCUAUUAGCUUGUUGGUGGGGUAAUGGCCCACCAAGGCGAUGAUGGGUAGUGGGCGUUAGCGCGUGGCCCGCCUCACUGGGACUGAGACACUGCCCAGACACCUACGGGUGGCUGCAGUCGAGAAUCUUCGGCAAUGGGCGCAAGCCUGACCGAGCGACGCCGCGUGCGGGAUGAAGGCCUUCGGGUUGUAAACCGCUGUCAGAGGGGAGGAAAUCCAUGAGGGCACUCUCUCAUGGUUGACCUAUCCUCAGAGGAAGUGCGGGCUAAGUUCGUGCCAGCAGCCGCGGUAAGACGAACCGCACAAACGUUAUUCGGAAUCACUGGGCUUAAAGGGUGCGUAGGCGGCCAUGCAAGUCGGGUGUGAAAGCCCUCAGCUCAACUGAGGAAUUGCGCCCGAUACUGCGUGGCUUGAGGGAGACAGAGGUGAGCGGAACUUGCGGUGGAGCGGUGAAAUGCGUUGAUAUCGCAAGGAACACCAGUAGCGAAAGCGGCUCACUGGGUCUCUUCUGACGCUGAGGCACGAAAGCUAGGGUAGCGAACAGGAUUAGAUACCCUGGUAGUCCUAGCUGUAAACGUUGAGCACUGGGUUGGAGAGUCCUCCAUAGCUUUCCAGCCGUAGCGAAAGUGUUAAGUGCUCCGGCUGGGGAGUAUGG